AUACGGAGGGUGCAAGCGUUGUUCGGAAUCACUGGGCGUAAAGGGCGCGCAGGCGGUUUGGUAAGUCAGAUGUGAAAGCCCAUGGCUCAACCAUGGAAGUGCAUUUGAAACUGUCAGACUUGAGUACUAGAGGGGAAAGUGGAAUUCCCGGUGUAGAGGUGAAAUUCGUAGAUAUCGGGAGGAAUACCGGUGGCGAAGGCGACUUUCUGGCUAGAUACUGACGCUGCGGCGCGAAAGCGUGGGGAGCAAACAGGAUUAGAAACCCUAGUAGUCC
rnacentral:rRNA from 1 species